ACUGCUUCCAGCAAUAGCCACUUUUUGCCAAGAGCUGUUUGGCUCCCAGGCUUCCAGAAAACAUUGUUCUGUUUGUAUUCAAUGGCAGAAAAAAAAAAGAAAGAAAAAAAAAAAGAAUAAGUGGUCCCUCGAUGUUUUUGUCUCAGAGAAAGGAUACACCCUUUAGAAAAGGAACUUACCGCAAGGUAAAUGGAAGAGCAUUUAGAUGGAGAGACCACCUCUAACGAUGGCUUAUACCAGAUGUAGAAGAUCAGGAAUGGCCAAGGGCAAGCAUCUAUGAAUCUUCUAAUUAUCAGAGAUUGUCUAUAGAAUCAAUGGAUUGGCAGGAGUACAUGCAGGUACGAAUUCAGAGCACUUUGCUUAUGCUUCUUCUAAAUUAUCUUGUGUUGGUGCAUGCAAAAAGCAGAUUUGUCAGCAAUAUAAACCACUAGGUGAGUACAUCUCCAGCGAUGCUGCUGUCUGUCCAAGGAAUGACAGGUGGGACUCAAACAAAAAGGGAGCAGAGCGGAUCAUCUUCAUGUUGCUCCACUCUGCCGAGAAGUUUGAGGGAACACAGCUUAGGAUGACCUGUGCAGGCACAGGCAGCUCUGUUCACAUUGCCUGGGAAUGGACCCUGUGCUGUUUCAUUUACUAGCAUUUGUGUAGCCACUUUCUGUGAGUAUUUGAUAUGCCAUGAGAUACCCAACAGACUGCAUCUGAUACCAUGACAGGUGGUCCUCAGCUAAACUAUGGAAGCAUCUGCCUUUGUUUUUUCAUCUUUUCCUGUCAGAACAAGUGAUAAAUACAUCCCUAGGAAACAUUAGGGCAUAGACGUGGUCUCUUUGUCAAAAGGUCAGGAACCAUUAGUGCGCACACCAUAGGAUCUCUUUUAAACAACUCUGUUCCAGGCUUUAUCUUGA
ensembl:lncRNA